GACCAAAAUGACACAGACAUUAACAACUAUAGGUCACCGUACGGCCUUCAACAAUGAGCAAAGCCCAUACCGAAUAGUCAGCUAUAAUAGGCCCCGAUAAGACAAUUAAUGUAAAACAAUUCAAAUGAGAAAACUAACGGCCUUAUUUAUGUAAAAAAAUGAACGAAAAACAAAUGUGUAACACAUAAACAAACGACAACCACUGAAUUACAG
rnacentral:lncRNA from 1 species